CCUACGGGAGGCAGCAGUGAGGAAUAUUGGUCAAUGGGCGCGAGCCUGAACCAGCCAAGUAGCGUGAGGGAAGACGGCCCUACGGGUUGUAAACCUCUUUUGUCGGGGAGCAAAGCGAGUCACGUGUGACUCAUUGAGAGUACCCGAAGAAAAAGCAUCGGCUAACUCCGUGCCAGCAGCCGCGGUAAUACGGAGGAUGCGAGCGUUAUCCGGAUUGAUUGGGUUUAAAGGGUGCGCAGGCGGAGGUGCAAGUCAGCGGUCAAAUUGCGGGGCGCAACCCCGUACUGCCGUUGAAACUGCAUCCCUUGAGUGCGCGAGAAGUAUGCGGAAUGCGUGGUGUAGCGGUGAAAUGCAUAGAUAUCACGCAGAACUCCGAUUGCGAAGGCAGCAUACCGGCGCGCAACGGACGCUCAUGCACGAAAGCGUGGGUAUCGAACAGGAUUAGAUACCCUAGUAGUC
rnacentral:rRNA from 1 species